rnacentral:RNase_P_RNA from 2 species
CUACAAACCCGCGCUAUCGCCUUGUUUUAACAGGGAGGAAAGUCCGGACAGCACAGAGCAACCCACCGGUGAACAGCCGGCCACCAAUUGGUGAGAGAAAGUGCCACAGAAAAUAACUGCCCUGCAUUGACGGGGUAAAGGUGAAAAUGUGAGGUAAGAGCUCACGGUUGUUAUCGGUAACGGUAGCAACGGGUAAACCUUGGGUGCUGCAAUGCCACAUAUAGAGCCGUUUUGAGAGCUGCUCGUUCAAGGCUCAGGGUAGGCAGCAACAGGUAAACAGUAAUGUUUAUCGCAGAUAAAUGAUAGUGUAGAAACAGAAUCCGGCUUAUGAGGUUUGUAGCUUU